GGGUUUAGUUAGUGUUUUCACA
rnacentral:siRNA from 1 species